AGCCUAGAAAAUGUCAUUAAUGGAUGGAAAAUAAGACCACACGGUUUAGAAGUCUUGAGACAAAAGACUUUUAGUACCCACGGCUUUCAAAAUUCUGUUUUUGAUCUAUGGAUGGAUGGAGUAACGACCUACGGUUUAAGAAAGUCUUAAGACAAAGGCUACAAAUUGAAAGCAGAUUCCUUACUUCACUACUCAUGGCUUACAAGAAAAGAAUUGUUGGAUGGAAAUAUAUUGCAAUAGGGCAGGCAGUUAUUAGACUUGUGUCCAUCCGUAGAAGAAACAAGGUGGGCAUACUACGUAACUAAAGACUAAUUAUUUUUAUUUCCUCAGGUAUGUACUUCAGAAGGCGUUCAUAUUGUUUGGGAGAUUCUGAAGAGAUUUGAAGUGUAGAAGACUUCUGUGACAGGUAUCUUCUUUUCAAACAUCUUUGUAACUAGUUUAGUCUCAUAUAGUUUACAACUUGCUUGACUCUAGAAACUAUAUGGGUUAUUACUAAACCCCUUUGUUGAACAUUCUGAAAUUGGGCAAAUGACAUUCAUGUAGUUGUAUAACUAAUUUUGGCUGUCAUAUGAGCUUCCUUACAUUUCGCAAUCUGCAUUCAUUUGGUUGUUGUAUGCACUUUGCAUCAUGUGGUUUACACUUCUCCAUUCUACAUUUUACAACACAUUCUGCAUUUUGCACCAUUUUCUUGCAAUUUUACUUCAGCACUGAGCGUCCUACAUUUUGCAUUAUGCAUCAUUUCCUUACACUUACAGGUUCUUCAUUUUACUAAACAUUCUGCAGCAUGCAUCUUCAUUUGGUUGUUGUAUGCACUUUGCAUCAUGUGUUUACACUUACUGCAUUCUACAUUUUACAAUACAUUAUGGCAUUUUGCAUCAUUUUCUUGCAAUUUUACAAUAUACUUCAGCAUUGAGCGUCCUACAUUAUGCAUCAUUUUACACUUAUGGGUUCUUCAUUUUACAAUAUGUUCUGAAGUAUGCAUCUUCCUUGCAAUUUUGUAGUUAAAUUUGGAUGUCUGAGCACUUGCGACAUUCCGCAACGACAUAUUACAUUACGUUCUGAAGUAUACAUCUUCCUUGGAGUUUUGUAGUUAAAUCUAUUGACCGUUUCGGAAAUUGUUUUGGUAUCGUACUAAAAUAUAUGUCUUUGGUCUAUUAUACAUAGUUGAUGGGCCGUGGAAAUCUAUUGAAUCAUGGUGUAUUCAUUUAAAAUGUGCAAUAGAUGUUUUCGCGGUUUCUCUUUGAUACUUUUGUUUUAAUAAUAUUUUUAUGAUUGAUGUCAAAAAAAAC
rnacentral:lncRNA from 1 species